UGUCCCUUUUCUCUCCAAACCAUGGUGCAUCCACUGCCAUGUUCCUUCCCUGCAGAUUUCCCGGGGUCAUCCAACUGACAGAGGGAAAGCCGCCGUGCCUGUUGUCAUUUGCAUUAUCCUGGGGGCUCUUCUCUGCCUGCUCCUGGCCCUCCUGGCUGGGCAAACUGUCAAGGCACAGCGCAGAGGCUCCAGGAGAACUGAGGAGCCCUUCCCUGAGGUUGUGUAUGAGGAGAUCGGAUACAGCUCUGCAUGGGAGAAGCAGACAACGUUUGAUCACUCAGGUGAGUGCAGGCCCUUUGAGGGCACAUCUGCAUGGACCUUUCCCUUUCCCUUGGCCCCAUCUGCCCCUGCCAACACCAGUCUUUCAGCUCCACCACCUGCACAUUCCCCGUCUUGCACUUCAUGGAAUGUUACUUCUCACUGCCACCAGAUCCCUUCUCCUUCUAGACAUUGCUAUUGUGCCCAGAGAUGAUCCAGAAGAAGGCUAUGAUGAUGCCAAGGAGGUUUCUGAACCUGGGAAUGAUCCUGACUCUGGGCAGGGUCACUCUGAAGUGCCCAGGACACAAAAGGAGGAAGAGGAGCCAAUGGAUGCAGUCAGAGGUAAGAAGGAAAUGAAUUGCAGCUCUGCUAGUUACCACAUACCGUUCCCUGUCUUAGGUGAAUUGCUGCAGUACCAUGAGCCCAGCCUUUUAUGAUGGGGAACCUGCCCAAGGAGAUUUCCUUAGGGGAAAUGGGUCUUGGACAUGGCCAGUGAGAAAAAGGAAGGAAUGAGAUGGACAGCCCUGAAGGGGUAUCCUAUGGAACAAACCACAGUACUUGUCUUACUGCUUGCAGGGAUGAGUCUGCACUCCCAGAGAAAUACUGGAGGCUCUGGAGCAGGUGGAGAUACCUUGUCCUUGUUCCUGAGGAGCACGGGCUAUGAUGAUGUUGAAGAGGUGUCUCUGGCACAUCCCCAUGGGGAUAUGAGCACUGUGAAACUAGAGUGGGACACAAAAGGAUCCCUGAGCCCCGAGCAAGGAGAACCCAUCUCUGCCAUGAGCCCGAGUGCAGUUGCAAGGGAAGAGAAGCUGGUGCUGCUUAGAGAGCUGUGAGGUCCCCUUUCCCAUGGGCAGCAGUAGUGUGGCAUUUCCUCUUGUGUUAGUACCCUGCUUUUACAUCGCGUCUGUAUUUGUUCUUAUUAAAACCCUUUGGAAGUUUUGAUCCAGAGCUGGUGCUUCACUGCCCAUGUGUCGGUUGGAUCUUUGGGGCUGGUCAAGGGAAGCAGAGCACAAAGACACAGUGAUGGGGAAGGGGUUUUUUGUGGGGAUAGUGGUACUGGGUUCAAGCUCUGGGGCUGAAAGCAUGUGGUGCAUGGGGACUAUUCCUGCUCACAGAGACGUUUCCAUCGCUCCUACCAGAAGCAGAGUUUCAAGCCAAAGCAGCUGUCUACAAGGUCUUAUGGUGCUCCUCUGAGGGAGGGUCCUCCUGCUGCCUUUGACUUUUAGGAGGGGGAGAACAUUCCCUUAUUGUUGUGGGAGACAGAGGAGGGAAAAUCCUCUUGGGAGGAGAUGUAAGCUGCAGCCUAAGACCAUUGUCCAGCCCCUGUUCUGGAGAAGGUUCCAUCCCAGAACUUGGCCAGAUUUCCAUGGAAGAGAUUUUGUGCUCCUCUCCUGAAGCAGGCACUGCUAGAAACUGAGCCAGGGUCCUUUCUUCUUG
ensembl:lncRNA